rnacentral:rRNA from 1 species
GACGAACGUUGGCGGCGUGCUUAAUACAUGCAAGUCCACUGAAGCGGUGGUAGCAAUAUCGCUGUGGAGGUGGCGCACGGGUGAGUAACACGUAGGUAAUCUGCCUUCAGGUCUGGCAUAACUCCGGGAAACCGGGGCUAAUAGCAGAUGAUGCAGCGGCUCGACAUCGAGACAGUUGUUAAAGCUAUGGCGCCUGAAGAUGAGCCUGCGUCUGAUUAGCUAGUUGGCGGGGUAACGGCCCACCAAGGCAACGAUCAGUAGCUGGUCUGAGAGGAUGAUCAGCCACACUGGAACUGAGACACGGUCCAGACUCCUACGGGAGGCAGCAGUAAGGAAUAUUGCUCAAUGGGAGAAAUCCUGAAGCAGCAACGCCGCGUGAGGGACGAAGGGCUUUUGCUUGUAAACCUCUGUAGUGAGAGAAAAAAAUCCCAAUCUUUGGGACAUGAUGGUAUCUCAAAAGUAAGCCCCGGCUAACUACGUG